rnacentral:rRNA from 1 species
GUAGUCCACGCCGUAAACGGUGGGCACUAGGUGUGGGGAACAUUCCACGUUCUCCGUGCCGAAGCUAACGCAUUAAGUGCCCCGCCUGGGGAGUACGGCCGCAAGGCUAAAACUCAAAGGAAUUGACGGGGCCCGCACAAGCGGCGGAGCAUGCGGAUUAAUUCGAUGCAACGCGAAGAACCUUACCUGGGUUUGACAUAUACCGGAAAGCUGCAGAGAUGUAGCCCCCGCAAGGUCGGUAUACAGGUGGUGCAUGGCUGUCGUCAGCUCGUGUCGUGAGAUGUUGGGUUAAG